AACGGUCAUACCAUGCUGAAUAUACAAGUGCUCGUUAGAUCACUGAAGUCAAGCAUCAUUGGGCGCGGUCAGUACCAGGUGGGUGACCACCUGGGAACACCGCGUGCCGUU
rnacentral:rRNA from 1 species